AAACUUACUCGGAAGCAUAAUAGUGGAUAGGAUAAAAUAUAU
rnacentral:misc_RNA from 1 species